rnacentral:rRNA from 1 species
UACGAAGGGGGCUAGCGUUGCUCGGAAUCACUGGGCGUAAAGCGCACGUAGGCGGCCUCUUAAGUCGGUGGUGAAAUCCUGGAGCUCAACUCCAGAACUGCCUUCGAUACUGAGAGUCUCGAGUCCGGGAGAGGUGAGUGGAACUGCGAGUGUAGAGGUGGAAUUCGUAGAUAUUAGGAAGAACACCAGUGGCGAAGGCGGCUCACUGGUCCGGUACUGACGCUGAGGUGCGAAAGCGUGGGGAGCAAACAGG